GGGUUGUGAGGUUAAGCGACUAAGCGUACACGGUGGAUGCCCUGGCAGUCAGAGGCGAUGAAGGACGUGCUAAUCUGCGAUAAGCGCCGGUAAGGUGAUAUGAACCGUUAUAACCGGCGAUUUCCGAAUGGGGAAACCCAGUGUGACUCGUCACACUAUCAUUAACUGAAUCCAUAGGUUAAUGAGGCGAACCGGGGGAACUGAAACAUCUAAGUACCCCGAGGAAAAGAAAUCAACCGAGAUUCCCCCAGUAGCGGCGAGCGAACGGGGAGGAGCCCAGAGCCUGAAUCAGCAUGUGUGUUAGUGGAAGCGUCUGGAAAGGCGCGCGAUACAGGGUGACAGCCCCGUACACAAAAGCGCAUGUGCUGUGAGCUCGAUGAGUAGGGCGGGACACGUGGUAUCCUGUCUGAAUAUGGGGGGACCAUCCUCCAAGGCUAAAUACUCCUGACUGACCGAUAGUGAACCAGUACCGUGAGGGAAAGGCGAAAAGAACCCCGGCGAGGGGAGUGAAAAAGAACCUGAAACCGUGUACGUACAAGCAGUGGGAGCACCCUUUGGGGUGUGACUGCGUACCUUUUGUAUAAUGGGUCAGCGACUUAUAUUCUGUAGCAAGGUUAACCGUAUAGGGGAGCCGGAGGGAAACCGAGUCUUAACCGGGCGUUAAGUUGCAGGGUAUAGACCCGAAACCCGGUGAUCUAGCCAUGGGCAGGUUGAAGGUUGGGUAACACUAACUGGAGGACCGAACCGACUAAUGUUGAAAAAUUAGCGGAUGACCUGUGGCUGGGGGUGAAAGGCCAAUCAAACCGGGAGAUAGCUGGUUCUCCCCGAAAGCUAUUUAGGUAGCGCCUCGUGAAUUCAUCUCCGGGGGUAGAGCACUGUUUCGGCUAGGGGGCCAUCCCGGCUUACCAACCCGAUGCAAACUGCGAAUACCGGAGAAUGUUAUCACGGGAGACACACGGCGGGUGCUAACGUCCGUCGUGAAGAGGGAAACAACCCAGACCGCCAGCUAAGGUCCCAAAGUCAUGGUUAAGUGGGAAACGAUGUGGGAAGGCCCAGACAGCCAGGAUGUUGGCUUAGAAGCAGCCAUCAUUUAAAGAAAGCGUAAUAGCUCACUGGUCGAGUCGGCCUGCGCGGAAGAUGUAACGGGGCUAAACCAUGCACCGAAGCUGCGGCAGCGACACUCAGGUGUUGUUGGGUAGGGGAGCGUUCUGUAAGCCUGCGAAGGUGUGUCGUGAGGCAUGCUGGAGGUAUCAGAAGUGCGAAUGCUGACAUAAGUAACGAUAAAGCGGGUGAAAAGCCCGCUCGCCGGAAGACCAAGGGUUCCUGUCCAACGUUAAUCGGGGCAGGGUGAGUCGACCCCUAAGGCGAGGCCGAAAGGCGUAGUCGAUGGGAAACGGGUUAAUAUUCCCGUACUUGGUGUUACUGCGAAGGGGGGACGGAGAAGGCUAUGUUGGCCGGGCGACGGUUGUCCCGGUUUAAGCGUGUAGGUGUGUGUUCCAGGUAAAUCCGGUUCACUUUAACACUGAGGCGUGAUGACGAGGCACUACGGUGCUGAAGCAACAAAUGCCCUGCUUCCAGGAAAAGCCUCUAAGCAUCAGGUAACAUCAAAUCGUACCCCAAACCGACACAGGUGGUCAGGUAGAGAAUACCAAGGCGCUUGAGAGAACUCGGGUGAAGGAACUAGGCAAAAUGGUGCCGUAACUUCGGGAGAAGGCACGCUGACACGUAGGUGAAGUGAUUUACUCACGGAGCUGAAGUCAGUCGAAGAUACCAGCUGGCUGCAACUGUUUAUUAAAAACACAGCACUGUGCAAACACGAAAGUGGACGUAUACGGUGUGACGCCUGCCCGGUGCCGGAAGGUUAAUUGAUGGGGUCAGCGCAAGCGAAGCUCCUGAUCGAAGCCCCGGUAAACGGCGGCCGUAACUAUAACGGUCCUAAGGUAGCGAAAUUCCUUGUCGGGUAAGUUCCGACCUGCACGAAUGGCGUAAUGAUGGCCAGGCUGUCUCCACCCGAGACUCAGUGAAAUUGAACUCGCUGUGAAGAUGCAGUGUACCCGCGGCAAGACGGAAAGACCCCGUGAACCUUUACUAUAGCUUGACACUGAACAUUGAGCCUUGAUGUGUAGGAUAGGUGGGAGGCUUUGAAGUGUGGACGCCAGUCUGCAUGGAGCCGACCUUGAAAUACCACCCUUUAAUGUUUGAUGUUCUAACGUGGACCCGU
rnacentral:rRNA from 1 species